GUUUUGUUUAAGCUGGCAGCUUCUGUGCAGCGUUUCAGUGACUCACCGACCAGAGUUCAUCACAAUCCUUAACCAUCCGGCACUAAAACGCAUUAUUUUGAACUUAUUAGUUCACUGAACAUGAACGACAAAGUGUCUUCUAGAUGUUGCACGGAGUAUUUAGUGUGUAACACAAGUUAAACACGUUCUUGUUGAACUCUUCCAGCAAUGGCCGCUGCACGUUUGGUGCGGCUGCCAGCAGUGUCUCUCAAUGAUGAUAAUUACACAGACCUGUACUGAAUGACUGUGACUGCAUUGAAUUAUUCUGAUGUGAGACACUGGUUAUAUGUAAAUGUAUUUAUUUUUAUUGACUCGUGCCAUCCUGAACUCUGCUCGUGGAGGGUCACGUGUUACCCGGCCACAUGAAGUUAGCCUGCUAGCUAACGCUUCAUGCUAAAGCAAUGCUUUCUGUUUUACAGAUGGAGACGAAACAUCCAGAAACUGCUUGCUGCCAAGGUGUGAGGAGACUGUGGCUGAACUCUACAUGAGAUGUUCACGGCCGAUCACAGUUGAGGAUCAAGAAUGAAGGACGUCUGCAGGUUCUGCACGGUCGACUCACUAACCUCUGCAAAGUGCACAAUGGUGUGUCUGUUACCAGAUGCUUGAAGAAGGAUGUCACCUACAAGUCAUCAUAUGAUUCAUUCACUACUUCAACACGAUUGUGGUCUAGUUGAAGGUAAGAUAUAAACAUUUAGAGGAUUGGUACCUGUAGCCUUUAUUCCCAGACCUGCUGAAAAUGAUGAGAUAUAUAUGGAAUCUCGUUCGUCUGAACUAAUGUUGAGAAAUAUCAUAUCUGACAUCAGCGAAGGUCAUUUUAAGUUGUAAUACGAGUAACAAUCCUAUUCUAAACUUGUUGCACAUCUGUAUCAGUCGCGUGAUCUGUUCAUUCAGAUUUGUUUGAAAGUCAAUGUAGACUUGAACAUUGUGCUGUUUCCUUUGCAUGUGCAGUAAAUUUGUUCUCUUGCCAACAGAUGAUUCAUUCACUACUUCAACACGAUGGUGGUGAAGUUGAGGGUAAGAUAUAAACAUUUAGAGGGUUGGUACCUGUAGCCUUGAUUCCCAAACCUGCUGAAAGUGAUGAUAAAUUUGGAAUGUGGUUCGUCUGAACUAAAAUUGAGAAUAUCUGACAUCAGCGAAGGUAAACAGUGAGUAGUGUUUGUUUGUGUCCUCAGAUCUGACUGUAGUCUGUUGCAGGUGUCUGGCUUUGGAAGAUGCUGACAUCUUCUCCACAGCAAAGGUGUUCAUCCAGCCAGUAGGACGAGCUGCCUGAAAAGCUGUGGAUGAAAAUGGACACGAAGUCAACCUCUAUGCUGAACGGAGUAUGACGUCAUCUGGAUUGCCCAGACUUGUUUGGUGUCGACCUCUUCGGUGUGGUGAACAGCGGACCGUUGCAGGUCAUGCAGUGUGAAGUUAUCACAUGGUCUCGAUCGUGUGCUCCCUGUCCGCUCAUGUUGGUUUGGUGAUGCUGUCCAACUCUUCAGUUUGGGGAACAGCAGAGAUGCUUUAAACUGCUGCAGUCCUGCUGGGUCUGCUGCUGACUGCUUCUGGAGUUUAUGACUCCGGCCAGACCGUGGACUCAUCAGUCGUCUCAUGCUGCAGGAAGUUUCCCAAAAGCUCCAGGAAUACUUCAGAAGACAUGUUUACAUAUUCAUAAGUACCAAUGAUAACCUGUAGUUUGAACAGGACAGUUGUGUGCCUUGAAUGAUGCA